CAUUCCCAUUACGUCGAAUAAUGUGCGUAUCCAACUCUAGGUAAAACUACCAGUCCGCUUUAGAGCAGAGAUUGAGAGACAAUGUCAAGCGGAGUGAGUGAACCAGACGUGAACGGAGGAAUAAUGGAAAACUCAACUGCGCAUGCUCUGUGGGCCCACAUCCGGGUACUUUCUGAGUCUGCACUCGUUCUAUUCGGCUUCAUGCGCCACGGAGCGACUCUCAGGAAUCCGCCCACCAUGCUGUAUUGUGCUGUAACUUUGGGUUAUUGUUAACAUAAGAAUUCGGUGCCGAAAAGUUGUCCAGCUGUUGAAUUACGAUUUGUUUGUGCUUCUGACUUGUGCCGAAUUAAAAAGUGUCUCUCAGUGAA